rnacentral:lncRNA from 10 species
GAGAAGGUCAUUUUUCCUCUCUUUAGGACAUCAAAUAUUUUGAAUAGACAUUAUUUUUUUUCUCAUUUAUCUCAGGCUUUAUUUUUUAAAUACUAAUACUUAAUUUUUUCAGAGCAAUUUUAGGCUCACAGCAAAAUUAAGAGAAAGGUACAGAGAUUUCCCAUAUAUAUCCCCUGUCCCCCAAUAUACACAGAGCCGCCUCCAUGUAAGAAGUGCCUUUUGCCUCCUGCCAUGAUUCUGAGGCCUCCCUAGCUAUGUGGAAAUGUAAGAGGAGUUACUAGCUUGCUUUUGAUUUUACAGUCUUAUAGGUGGAAGGGACUUAAUGCUUCAGAGUGCAAGCAGCAAAAGAGCUCAAGCAAGGGAAAAACAAAUAACAUGUCAUAGAUGACUAGGCUUAGUAGCAGUUUUAUUUUUUAUAGAUAUAUUUAAAUAAUUUAAUUUAUAUUCAUAAAAUUAAAAUUAAAAUUCCAGCUCCAUUUAAAUAAUUGAUUGAACUCUUUGAUAUUCAUUCAUUAUAACUUGAAUUUUCUCAUUUAAUUUCAAUAGAUCUUUUAAAAAUAUUUCAUUAGAAAAAUAAGCUUUUGGACACAUGAAAGGAUUU